ACACGUGCUACAAUGGGCGGUACAAAGAGAAGCAACCUCGCGAGGGUGAGCAAAUCUCAAAAAGACCGUUCUCAGUUCGGAUUGAAGUCUGCAACUCGACUUCAUGAAGUCGGAAUCGCUAGUAAUCGCGGAUCAGCAUGCCGCGGUGAAUACGUUCCCGGGCCUU
rnacentral:rRNA from 1 species